rnacentral:lncRNA from 1 species
GUGAGUCCCAAAUUGGGGUCCUAACACUGACCAGAAACUCCCAGACAGGGAGCCUGGUCCUAAUAACCAGACCCCAUUGAUACUUCAGCUAAGCGAGAUGGGGAGAUGGAAUUGCUCCCAUCAAGCAGCCCCAGUCAUAUUCCAGAGCACACUGGGGAGACCCUAGAGGCUAAGACCUGACUCCACUAUCUUCCAAGCUAGGAAGUGCAUGAGAAGGAGCAGGUCUGGGGGGAAGGGCAAACAUCCAUGCUUUCCUUUCAAAGCUUUGUGGCAUCAUCUUUUUUUUUUUUUUUUUUUUUUGAGAUGGAGUCUCCCUCUGUUGUCUAGGCUUGAGUGCAGUGGUGCAGUCUCCAAUCUCAGCUCACUGCAACUUCCACCUCCCAGGUUCAAGUGAUUCUCCUGUCUCAGCUUCCUGAGUAGCUGAGAUUACAGGCGCCCACCAACAUGCCUGGUUAAUUUUUGUAUUCUUAGUAGAAAAAGGGUUUCACCAUGUUGGCCAGGCUGGUCACGAACUCCUGACCUCAAGUGAUCCACCUACCUUGGCCUCCCAAAGUGCUGGGAUUACAGGUGUAACCACCGCACCUGGCGGCAUCAUCUUACACGUGUAUUUUUCAUAUGCUUACUUGAUGUCUACUUUGGCCACUAGACAGUAAGUGCCAGGAGGGCAGGGGCCCACAUCAGUUUUAUUCCCUGUUAUGCCCCCAGAUCCAGCCAGGUGCAUGGCAAGUAAACAAUGCCAGAAAACACUUGUGGAUUGAGUGUAGUUCAACUGGGGGUGAAAUGCCUCUGGGUCACAGAAGAACAGAUGCCCAAUCCCAGGACAGUGGCACAGCCCAGGAAGAAGAAAUGCAGCCACAUUGCUGGGCGCCAGUUCUAUCCCCAGGUGGUCUCACAUAACUCACAACCACCCCAGGAGUCCUGUUGAGAACUAAGGAUUAUCCAACCCAGUCAUUUUGAAUUCCCCUAACAACUAAACCCCCUUGAAAACAGCAUUUCACAGAGUCCAUUUUCUAUAAAAGAUCAAAGAGGAACAGCUCUGCUUGAAUCAAGCUUGAGAAGGUAGGAACCCCACUAGCUCGCCCACUCCUUCCUUCUGCCCUUCCCACCCCCCCAUAGGGGUGAGGCUCACAGAGGGAAAGGGACUUCCCACGAGUGCACUAGGGAAUGACGUAAGUGUCAGAGCCAGGAUGGGCCCAAGUCUCCUACCUUCCAUAUCACUGUGCUUUGCAAGACAGCCUACUGUCACUGAAGCCACCAACGUAACACAAUGCAAAAUACACUGCAAGAAACUCCUCCUAUCACAAAAGACUUCCAAGUCCUAGACUAGGGUCUGCCUUGGGUCCCUUGAGAUUCAAGAAGCUGAGGAAUGAUCAGCAAUGGAUAAUCUGAAUGCAUAUGCUUCCCAAAGAAAUUUUUACAAGAGAAACUUAAACCGCUACUGCCAGGAGCACUGGCCAUUCCAGCCAUGCCUCACUGGGAGGCCCUGAGCAUUCUAGCCGGCGGCUGCACAGCUGCUGGGGCAUCUCCAUGAGGAAGAGGGCGGUGGACAGGAGUCAUGAAGACUAAUUCGGAAACUCCCCUGAAGGAGGAGAAGACAUCUGAGCCAUCCUUGUGCCACCAAGCAAGAGUCACUCCAGCUCCUAAAAAGCCACCAUGGGAAGAGCUGCCUCCAAUUAAAGUUCUUGAUUGCACCAGAGGAUGUGUCCUUCUCUUUUCCUUUCCCCCUUACCAACUAAUGUCUUAUUAUUUUUAAAUAUAUUGUCACAUCUAACUAAGCUUAAAAAAUUUAGCCUAUUGGCUGGGCGCAGUGGCUCACGCCUGUAAUCCCAACACUUUGGGAGACCGAGGCAGGUGGAUCACAUGAGGUCAUAAGUUCAAGACCAGCCUGGCCAAUGCGGUGAAACCCCAUCUGUGCUAAAAAUAAAAAAAUCUGCCAGGUGUGGUGGCGUGCUCCUGUAAUCUCAGCUACUAGGGAGGCUGAGGCAGGAGAAUCACUUGAACCCAGGAGGCAGAGGUUGCAAUGAGCUGAGAUCUCGCCGCUGCACUCCAGCCUGGGUAACAGAGUGAGACUCCGUGAAAGAAAGAAAGGAAGGGAAGGGGGAAGGGGGAAGGGAAGAAAGAAAAAAGAGAGAGAGAGGAAGGAGAAAACAGCUUUUUGGAUACCUUCUGAAAUAAUUCCAAAUUUACAGAAAUGUCACAAGAAUAAUACAGAGAACUCCCAUUUAC